rnacentral:rRNA from 1 species
UCAAGCGAAUAAGAGCUUACGACGGAUACCUUGGUGUUCAGAAGCGAUGAAGGGCGUGGCUACCAACGAAAUGUUUCGGGGAACUGGAAGCAAGUUUUGAUCCGAAAAUUCCCGAAUAAGGAAACUUCAUGAACUACUUCUUGAAUUCAUAAAGAAGAAAGAGCAAACCUAGUGAAUUGAAACAUCUUAGUAACUAGAGGAAAAGAAAGCAAAAGCGAUUCCCUGAGUAGCGGCGAGCGAAAUGGGACCAGUCUAAACUCUAUUUUUUAGAGGGUUGUGGGACAAUGUUAAUAAAGUCAAUAAGUUAGGUGAAGCAGCUGGAAUACUGCACCAAAGAGAGUGAAAGUCUCGUAUUCGAAAACUAUUAUAGCUUUAAAUUGUAUCCCAAGUAGGAAGGGACACGUGAAACCCCUUUUGAAUUUGCGAGGACCACCUCGUAAGACUAAAUAUUCCUGAAUAACCGAUAGUGAACCAGUACCGUGAGGGAAAGGUGAAAAGAACCCCGGGAGGGGAGUGAAAUAGAACAUGAAAUCGUAAGUUUACAAGCAGUAGAAGAGCGACUUAACGCUCGACUUCGUGCCUGUUGAAGAAUGAGCUGGCGACUUGUAGGCUAUGGCAAGGUUAAAAUAAGAAAAUAUUGGAGCCAGAGUGAAAGCGAGCUUGAUAAGAGCGUUAAGUCAUAGUUUACAGACCCGAACCCGGAUGAUCUAACCAUGGCCAGUGUGAAGCUUAGGUAACACUAAGUGGAGGUACGAACCGACUGUUGUUGAAAAAACAGCGGAUGAGUUGUGGUUAGGGGUGAAAUUCCAAUCGAAUCCGGAGCUAGCUGGAUCUCCCCGAAAUGCGUUGAGGCGCAGCGACUAAUAUUUCUUUUUAGGGGUAAAGCUACUGUUUUGGUGCGGGCUGCGAGAGCGGUACCAAAUCAAGGCAAACUCUGAAUACUAAAAUGUUUAAUUAGUUAGUGAGACAUUGGGGGAUAAGCUUCAAUGUCAAGAGGGAAACAGCCCAGAUUACCAGUUAAGGCCCCUAAAUAAUUACUAAGUGAUAAAGGAGGUGGGAGUGCAUAGACAAUCAGGAGGUUUGCCUAGAAGCAGCAAUCCUUUAAAGAGUGCGUAAUAGCUCACUGUUCGAGUGCUCCUGCGCCGAAAAUGAAUGGGACUAAGUAAUUUGCCGAAGCUGUAAGAUGUUAAAACAUCGGUAGGGGAGCGUUCUACAUUAGUUUGAAGCGUUAGCGGAAGCGGGCGUGGACAAGGUAGAAGUGAGAAUGUUAGCUUGAGUAGCGAAAACAUUGGUGAGAAUCCAAUGCCCCGAAAACCCAAGGGUUCCUCCGGAAGGCUCGUCCGCGGAGGGUGAGUCAGGUCCUAAGGUGAGGCUAAUAGCGUAAUCGAUGGAUAACAGGUUAAUAUUCCUGUACUGUUUAUUGUUGGUAAAGGGGGACGGAGAAGGCUAGACCAGCCGAAUGUUGGUUAUCGGUUUAAGUAUUCAAGGUGUUGAGGAACGGUGAAAACGUUCUGAGCUGAGAUAUGAAUAGGAAAGUGUUAAGACACUGAACUGGUUGAUGUCAUACUUCCAAGAAAAGCCCUAACUACCAUAAGCAAUAAAUACCUGUACCCUAAACCGACACAGGUGGGUAAGUAGAGAAUACUAAGGGGCGCGAGAUAACUCUCUCUAAGGAACUCGGCAAAAUGGCCUCGUAACUUCGGGAGAAGAGGUGCCCUUAAACGGGCUGCAAGAACCAGACGCUGGCGACUGUUUAUCAAAAACACAGGUCUCCGCAAAGUCGUAAGACGAUAUAUGGGGGCUGACACCUGCCCAGUGCCGGAAGGUUAAGGAAGCUUGUUAGUCUUUGACGAAGCUCGCGACUGAAGCCCCGGUGAACGGCGGCCGUAACAAUAACGGUCCUAAGGUAGCG